rnacentral:rRNA from 1 species
UACAGAGGGUGCGAGCGUUAAUCGGAAUUACUGGGCGUAAAGCGUGCGUAGACGGUUAUUUAAGUCGGGUGUGAAAGCCCCGGGCUCAACCUGGGAAUGGCAAUGGAUACUGGCAAGCUAGAGUGCGGUAGAGGGUAGUGGAAUUCCCGGUGUAGCGGUGAAAUGCGUAGAGAUCGGGAGGAACACCAGUGGCGAAGGCGGCUACCUGGACCAGCACUGACACUGAGGCACGAAAGCGUGGGGAGCAAACAGG